rnacentral:rRNA from 1 species
AUUGAACGCUGGCGGCAGGCCUAACACAUGCAAGUCGAGCGGAUGAGGGAAGCUUGCUUCCUGAUUUAGCGGCGGACGGGUGAGUAAUGCCUAGGAAUCUGCCUGUUAGUGGGGGAUAACGUUCCGAAAGGAACGCUAAUACCGCAUACGUCCUACGGGAGAAAGUGGGGGAUCUUCGGACCUCACGCUAACAGAUGAGCCUAGGUCGGAUUAGCUAGUAGGUGAGGUAAUGGCUCACCUAGGCUACGAUCCGUAACUGGUCUGAGAGGAUGAUCAGUCACACUGGAACUGAGACACGGUCCGGACUCCUACGGGAGGCAGCAGUGGGGAAUAUUGGACAAUGGGCGAAAGCCUGAUCCAGCCAUGCCGCGUGUGUGAAGAAGGUCUUCGGAUUGUAAAGCACUUUAAGUUGGGAGGAAGGUCUGUAAGUUAAUACCUUGCAGUCUUGACGUUACCAACAGAAUAAGCACCGGCUAACUCUGUGCCAGCAGCCGCAGUAAGAC